GCCCCAUAGUCUGGGAUACCACUUGGAAACAGGUGCUAAUACCGGAUAAGAAAGCGGAUCGCAUGAUCAGCUUUUAAAAGGCGGCGUAAGCUGUCGCUAUGGGAUGGCCCCGCGGUGCAUUAGCUAGUUGGUAAGGUAAAGGCUUACCAAGGCGAUGAUGCAUAGCCGAGUUGAGAGACUGAUCGGCCACAUUGGGACUGAGACACGGCCCAAACUCCUACGGGAGGCAGCAGCC
rnacentral:rRNA from 1 species